CGGUUGAUCCUGCCGGAGGGCACUGCUAUCAGAGUACGCCUAAGCCAUGCAAGUCUGCCCGGCGGCUUCGCCGGACGGCACACGGCUCAGUAACAAGUAGUCAAUCUGCCCUAAGGACGGGGGCAACCUCGGGAAACUGAGGUCAAUCCCCGAUAUCCCGCCUAUGCUGGAAUGCUUGGCGGGCAAAAGGCUCCGGAAAUUGCACCGGACGCGCCCUAGGAUGAGACUGCUCCUGAUUAGGUAGUUGGUGAGGUAACGGCUCACCAAGCCGAUAAUCAGUAGGGGCAAUGGGAGUUGGCGCCCCGAGAAGGGCACUGAGACAAGGGCCCUAGUCCUACGGGAUGCAGCAGGCGCGAAACCUUUACAAUGCGCGAAAGCGUGAUAAGGGAACUCUGAGUGGCAGCCGGCUUUUGCCGACUGUCUUUUGCCAACCUUAAACCGGUUGGAGAAUAAGUUCUGGGUAAGACCAGUGCCAGCCGCCAUGUGCUUACGCAUAUAGCGCACGGUACGCGGUAAUACUGGCAGAACGAGUGGUGUCCACGAAUAUUGGGUCUAAAGAGACCGUAGCUGGCCUGUUAAGCCCACUGUGAAAUCUUGGGGCUCAACCUCAAGGCGUGCAGUGGAUACUGGCAAGGCUUGAGAGCGGGGGAGGUCAGGGGUACUUACGGGGUAGGGGUAAAAUCCGUUGAUCCUGUAAGGACCACCAGUGGCGAAGGCGCCUGACCAAAACGCGUCUGACAGUGAGGGUCGAAGGCUAGGAGAACGAAUCGGAUUAGAUACCCGAGUAGCCCUAGCAGUAAAUCAUGCAGACUGUGGUGUUGCUAUGGCUUCGGGCCAUGGCAGUGCUGUAGCGUANGUGUUAAGUCUGCCACCUGGGGAGUACGGCCGCAAGGUUGAAACUUAAAGGAAUUGGCGGG
rnacentral:rRNA from 1 species